GCGCCUAAUAACCCCUCUAAUAAAUAUUUCUAUGACCUUUUUGAUAAAGUAGAUAAAAUAAAGCAGGGUAAAUUACUUCUGGCGGGUGAUUUCAAUCGGAUACCAGAUAUAAAUAUAGAUAGGAAAACUUUAAAUCAUGAAGGGUCAAUUAAAGGAGUAACUGCACAAGCUGUACAAUUUCAAAGGAUAAUUAAGAAAUAUGGAUUUAUGGAUAUAUGGCGAGUGUUUCAUCCAUUGGAGAGGGAUUUUACAUGCUUCUCCAGAUCAUAUUUCUCAUACUCAAGAAUUGACUUAUUUUUGGGCAGUGUUGGAUUUACCAAUAGUACUAAAAAAGUCCUUGUAGACGAAGUAACUUGGUCCGAUCAUAAUGCCAUAAUCUUGGAGUUGGAUAUAGUGGAUAAUAGGGCAAGAAGAACUGAUUGGAGAUUAAAUGAUAAUAUUCUCUCCAGUAAGGAAAACAGAGAUUAUAUAGGGGAGAUGACAGGAAAAUGAGGGGGGUGAAGUGUCACUUCCGAUGGUUUGGAAUGCAUA